rnacentral:rRNA from 1 species
GAUGAACGCUGGCGGCGUGCCUAAUACAUGCAAGUCGAGCGAAAAGGCGAGAAGCUUGCGUAUCUGAGGUUAGCGGCGGACGGGAGAGUAACACGUGGAUAACCUACCUAUAAGACUGGGAUAACUUCGGGAAACCGGAGCUAAUACCGGAGAAUAUUUUGAACGGCAGGGUUCAAAAGUGAAAGACGGUCUUGGUGUGACUUAUAGAUGGAUCCGCGCUGCAUGAGGUAGUUGGUAAGGUAACGACUUACUAAGGGAACGAUGGAUAGACGACCUGAGAGGCGGGUCGGCCGCCUUGGAGGUGUAACACGCACAAGGCUCCUACGAGACGGCGCAGUAGCGAACCUUCGGCAACGGUCGAAAGCCUGACGGAGCAGGGCGGCGUCUGUGACGGCGGUGCUCGGAUCGUAAAACUCGCUUUCGGGGGAAAAACAUAUUUGUACGGUACUGUGCAGUGAUUGACGGUAACGGAUAAGGAAGCCACGGCUAACUACGUG